ACGUUCCUGCCAGCAGUGUAUGAGGCUCCCAAUUUCUCCACAUCCUCAUCCACAUUUAUUAUCUGUUUUCUCAUUAUAGCCGUCCUAGUGGUUGUUGAGGCCUGGCUCCCAGUUUUUCUGUGACUAUGAGGAAUGCAGUUAUAACCCUUGUCUGUGACUCUUGGCAUUAUUUUGUUGUAUUGAAUUCCUGGCAGUGGAACAUGCAUACCGAGGAGAGAGAGAGAGUGUAUAUGUUUCUAAAAGGAUUUUUGUUUUGUUUUAUUUUGUUGAAGAUAGAUGAUUUUUAAAAGGUUUUGGUGAGUUAUUACCAAAUGGAUCACCAGACGUUUCACUAACUUACCCUUUCUCUAGCAGGAUGAAGGGUGUGGGGAAAACAGAAGUUCCCAUGGCCAGGAUCCUCACCUGACCCUGAACCACUCGAUGAUCAGAUGGGUCUGCACGUGGGCUUGGUCAGCAGGACUGGGCUGCAACGCCAGCUUCCCAUCAGAGCCUUUCUUGACUGCUUGCAGCGCCGGCGUCGGCACCUCUAAGAUGGGAGAAGUGGGAUUGUUCUGAAAAUCUGCUCUGGGGUUCAGUCCUCCGACUCCACUCCCGCAUGUCUCAGCCUGGCAUCAAAGGCACCUGCAUCAAGAAGACGCUCCAUCUCCACAGCUGGAAUCAAUUUCUCCCUGGACUAUGACUCUGUCCCUCCGCUGGUUAAGAUGACCGCAUUUUCUGAACUGAAAUUGGGAUUCAUGCUCUCUCAUUAGUACAACUGCUCUUUGGAGAACAGGUGCAGAGAAUAUGAAAGUGCUCAACCAGGAAUCCUGGAACAUAUGAUCACUACGCAAGUUGUAGGCCUCACGUUCCCAGGUCAU